AACCUUAUGGACCUGCGGGCGUAUACCUGCGGAGGGAUCAUUACCGAGUUUACAACUCCCAAACCCAUGUGAACAUACCUAUCGUUGCUUCGGCGGAUCGCCCCGGGCGCCUUGCGUGCCCCGGAUCCAGGCGGCCGCCGGGGGACCUUAACUCUUGUUUUUACUGAGAAUCUUCUGAGUCGUUUUUACAAAUAAAUAAAAACUUUCAGCAAUGGAUCU
rnacentral:misc_RNA from 1 species